UACGAAGGGGGCUAGCGUUGCUCGGAAUCACUGGGCGUAAAGGGUGCGUAGGCGGGUUUUUAAGUCAGGGGUGAAAUCCCGGAGCUCAACUCCAGAACUGCCUUUGAUACUGAGGAUCUUGAGUUCGGGAGAGGUGAGUGGAACUGCGAGUGUAGAGGUGAAAUUCGUAGAUAUUCGCAAGAACACCAGUGGCGAAGGCGGCUCACUGGCCCGAUACUGACGCUGAGGCACGAAAGCGUGGGGAGCAAACAGG
rnacentral:rRNA from 1 species